AAAUGAAUUGACGGGGGCCCGCACAAGCAGUGGAGUAUGUGGUUUAAUUCGAAGCAACGCGAAGAACCUUACCAGGUCUUGACAUCCCUUGAAGUUUGUAGAGAUACAAAUGUUCCUUCGGGACAAGGAGACAGGUGGUGCAUGGUUGUCGUCAGCUCGUGUCGUGAGAUGUUGGGUUAAGUCCCGCAACGAGCGCAACCCUUAUCGUUAGUUACCAGCACGUUAUGGUGGGGACUCUAACGAGACUGCCGGCGACAAGUCGGAGGAAGGUGGGGAUGAUGUCAAAUCAUCAUGCCCCUUAUGACCUGGGCUACACACGUACUACAAUGGCCGUUACAAUGGGAAGCUAAGCUGUGAAGUGGAGCAAAUCCCCAAAGGCGGUCCCAGUUCGGAUUGUGGGCUGAAACUCGCCCACAUGAAGUCGGAAUUGCUAGUAAUGGUAGGUCAGCAUACUACCGUGAAUACGUUCCCGGGCCUUGUACACACCGCCCGU
rnacentral:rRNA from 1 species